rnacentral:lncRNA from 12 species
AUUAGAACUCCCAAUUGCAUCCAGGAGGGUGUUUAUUUUGACCUGUUGCUGUGAUAGUCUAAUUCAGUCAUUUUAGCAUGGGAGCAUUUUGAUAUAAUCUGAAAUAUAAACCACUCAACUUUCACCUGUUACAAAUUGUCAGUCAGCAGGGGAAACCAGCAUCCGGAGUGAACGUCAGGGGGUGUUUGAACAGUGGGGUGUGUGCUU